GAUGAACGCUGGCGGCGUGCCUAAUACAUGCAAGUCGAGCGAACAGAUGAGGAGCUUGCUCCUCUGACGUUAGCGGCGGACGGGUGAGUAACACGUGGAUAACCUACCUAUAAGACUGGGAUAACUUCGGGAAACCGGAGCUAAUACCGGAUAAUAUAUUGAACCGCAUGGUUCAAUAGUGAAAGACGGUUUUGCUGUCACUUAUAGAUGGAUCCGCGCCGCAUUAGCUAGUUGGUAAGGUAACGGCUUACCAAGGCAACGAUCCGUAGCCGACCUGAGAGGGUGAUCGGCCACACUGGAACUGAGACACGGUCCAGACUCCUACGGGAGGCAGCAGUAGGGAAUCUUCCGCAAUGGGCGAAAGCCUGACGGAGCAACGCCGCGUGAGUGAUGAAGGUCUUCGGAUCGUAAAACUCUGUUAUUAGGGAAGAACAAAUGUGUAAGUAACUAUGCACGUCUUGACGGUACCUAAUCAGAAAGCCACGGCUAACUACGUG
rnacentral:rRNA from 1 species